GAUGAACGCUGGCGGCGUGCCUAAUACAUGCAAGUCGAGCGAAUGGAUUAAGAGCUUGCUCUAAUGAAGUUAGCGGCGGACGGGUGAGUAACACGUGGGUAACCUGCCCAUAAGACUGGGAUAACUCCGGGAAACCGGGGCUAAUACCGGAUAACAUUUUGAACCGCAUGGUUCGAAAUUGAAAGGCGGCUUCGGCUGUCACUUAUGGAUGGACCCGGGUCGCAUUAGCUAGUUGGUGAGGUAACGGCUCACCAAGGCAACGAUGCGUAGCCGACCUGUGAGGGUGAUCGGCCACACGGGGACUGAGACACGGCCCAGACUCCUACGGGAGGCAGCAGUAGGGAAUCUUCCGCAAUGGACGAAAGUCUGACGGGGCAACGCCGCGUGAGUGAUGAAGGCGUUCGGGUCGUAAAACUCUGUUGUUAGGGAAGAACAAGUGCUAGUUGAAUAAGCUGACACCUUGACGGUACCUAACCAGAAAGCCACGGCUAACUACGUGCCAGCAGCCGCAGUAA
rnacentral:rRNA from 1 species